GGUGUCCUUGGAGAAGUGGUCAACUCACUCCCUUUGGGCGUAUGCGGAAUUGGGAGAGGUCAGGGGUUCGAACCCCCUAGGCACCA